rnacentral:rRNA from 1 species
ACGCUGGCGGCGUGCCUAAUACAUGCAAGUCGAACGAACUUCCGUUAAUUGAUUAUGACGUGCUUGCACCGAAUGAGAUUUUAACACGAAGUGAGUGGCGGACGGGUGAGUAACACGUGGGUAACCUGCCCAGAAGCAGGGGAUAACACCUGGAAACAGAUGCUAAUACCGUAUAACAGAGAAAACCGCCUGGUUUUCUUUUAAAAGAUGGCUCUGCUAUCACUUCUGGAUGGACCCGCGGCGCAUUAGCUAGUUGGUGAGGUAACGGCUCACCAAGGCGAUGAUGCGUAGCCGACCUGAGAGGGUAAUCGGCCACAUUGGGACUGAGACACGGCCCAGACUCCUACGGGAGGCAGCAGUAGGGAAUCUUCCACAAUGGACGCAAGUCUGAUGGAGCAACGCCGCGUGAGUGAAGAAGGGUUUCGGCUCGUAAAGCUCUGUUGUUAAAGAAGAACGUGGGUGAGAGUAACUGUUCACCCAGUGACGGUAUUUAACCAGAAAGCCACGGCUAACUACGUGCCAGCAGCCGCGGUAAUACGUAGGUGGCAAGCGUUAUCCGGAUUUAUUGGGCGUAAAGCGAGCGCAGGCGGUCUUUUAAGUCUAAUGUGAAAGCCUUCGGCUCAACCGAAGAAGUGCAUUGGAAACUGGGAGACUUGAGUGCAGAAGAGGACAGUGGAACUCCAUGUGUAGCGGUGAAAUGCGUAGAUAUAUGGAAGAACACCAGUGGCGAAGGCGGCUGUCUGGUCUGUAACUGACGCUGAGGCUCGAAAGCAUGGGUAGCGA